rnacentral:tRNA from 1 species
AGUCUUAUAUUCAAGGAUGAUAUAAAAUUGCAAAUUUUAGGGUGUAAUAAUUACUAAGGCUU